AACGAACGCUGGCGGCAUGCCUAACACAUGCAAGUCGAACGAGACCCCUGACUUCGGUUGCGGGUCCAGUGGCGCACGGGCGCGUAACGCGUGGGAAUCUGCCCUUGGGUUCGGAAUAACUCAGAGAAAUUUGAGCUAAUACCGGAUGAUGACGAAAGUCCAAAGAUUUAUCGCCCAGGGAUGAGCCCGCGUAAGAUUAGCUUGUUGGUGGGGUAAUGGCCUACCAAGGCGACGAUCUUUAGCUGGUCUGAGAGGAUGAUCAGCCACACUGGGACUGAGACACGGCCCAGACUCCUACGGGAGGCAGCAGUGGGGAAUAUUGGACAAUGGGCGCAAGCCUGAUCCAGCAAUGCCGCGUGAGUGAUGAAGGCCUUAGGGUUGUAAAGCUCUUUUACCAGGGAUGAUAAUGACAGUACCUGGAGAAUAAGCUCCGGCUAACUCCGUG
rnacentral:rRNA from 1 species